rnacentral:rRNA from 1 species
GACGAACGCUGGCGGCGUGCCUAAUACAUGCAAGUAGAACGCACAGUUUAUACCGUAGCUUGCUACUCCAUAGACUGUGAGUUGCGAACGGGUGAGUAACGCGUAGGUAACCUGCCUGGUAGCGGGGGAUAACUAUUGGAAACGAUAGCUAAUACCGCAUAAUAUUGAUUAUUGCAUGAUAAUUAAUUGAAAGGUGCAAUUGCACCACUACCAGAUGGACCUGCGUUGUAUUAGCUAGUAGGUGAGGUAACGGCUCACCUAGGCGACGAUACAUAGCCGACCUGAGAGGGUGAUCGGCCACACUGGGACUGAGACACGGCCCAGACUCCUACGGGAGGCAGCAGUAGGGAAUCUUCGGCAAUAGACGAAAGUCUGACCGAGCAACGCCGCGUGAGUGAAGAAGGUUUUCGGAUCGUAAAGCUCUGUUGUAAGAGAAGAACGGGUGUGAGAGUGGAAAGUUCACACUGUGACGGUAUCUUACCAGAAAGGGACGGCUAACUACGUG